CGAGUGGUGAUUGACGCUCCUGACCACCAAUCAGUAUCGAGCAGGCACUAUUUAGAGCGGUUUGGUUUUGACCCUGCUAUGUGUCACGUCCAUAUCCUCCCCUUUUUCUGUUAUUAUAGCGGUUUCAGCCUGUCUUUUCCUCAUUGUGUGUGUCCCUGUCGGAUGCUGUUCGGAUCUGUUUACUGCCCUCCUUUCAGUUUAACAGCGGGUUAUGUGAGGGCUGCGUAUCCUGAGCGGUGAAUUGAUCCUCGUGAACUCAUCUAUCCGCAUUUGGAUUCUCCCUCUUGUUCGUCCUGUGCGAUUAUCACUGCAGUUUGGGUUUUCCCUCCACUGCGCGCCGAGCGAAUAAUAUCAGCUUACACUAUUUAAAGGGACUUCUGCUGCUGCCG